rnacentral:misc_RNA from 1 species
GGAGUUAGGCAGAUUCAUAUCACUAGCUCUCACUGGAUCGUACCAUGCAUAACAAGCUAUUAAGCUAUUCACAACAGCGAAGGGCCACUGAAAUGGAAAAUAGCCUCAACACCUCAUUAACACUGCAAACCCUGCCAGCUCCACAUGUGGCAUGCAAGACCACCUUUAGCCACCAAAUAAUUGCACCAUCUCAAAUUUACAUUUAAUCUUAGAUUAUAUUAUACUUGUACUUGCAACAUCAGAAUUUAUAUUCUUACACAAGUAGCAUUACGGGGAAGCCAUUUCACGAUCAUUGGUGCUUUCCAAUUUUCAUAAACUCAUAACUAAAAUUCCUAAAAGAUUAACAAAAUUCUCAGAAAUCUUUCUACAGACUAUUAAAUAUUGAAACCCUUACCAACUGUGAAACUCUUUCAUUCCGAAUUACACAGGUUCAACUCCAAUAUAUGAACAAAAUAAAAAA